CACAGAUGAAAGUGCUGUAACUGAAACAGCCCCAGCUGCCUGAGCUGGUAGAGAUGCUUUGAGUAGGAUCUAGUGGAUAGCAACAAUACCCAGAAGAUACACUGAGUACCUCACUGGAAUGAUUCUGAGAAGGAAAACGGCACUGAGGCAAAAAAGCCCUUAAGGUCUGGUCAGCUUGGAAAUUAUCAAAGGAGCUGUUCACCAUGGCCAAUGAGAUGUUUGAGGAACAUACCACUUAAUUUCUACUUCAAGAGCUUCAGAAGAGACAGCCAUAUGAUAUCAACACAGCAUACCUUCUAACUGCAUGCAAUGAUUUUUGCCAAAGGAAACAUACCGAGCCGAGCUUCACCCACCCAGCGGAGUCACUGAGUCCGAGCACUGUAUCAGCCAUCCAGCAAAGAAAUCGAAGACAUGAGAGAUGGAAGAAACUAUUGGUCAUCUA